GGAUCUUUUUUUGGAUUGGCAGUGAGAAUAUAAACAAACUAAUGAAUGUCCUCCACCCUCUUUGGGUUGCAUAUUAGGGAACAAAACAGAAAGGUCUCCCUUUCGAGACAGCCAGAACUAGCCAGUCAAACCAACGCAGUCAGAGCUUCCACGCAUGCUGAAGAAAGGAAGGAUUUCCUCAGUUUUGUUUCCCUGAAAAUAUUCCUCCAAAUCCCCCCUGUCAUCCCAUCCCAUCAGUGUGUGGCCAAUGAUGCCGAAAACUAAAAGAAAAAGACAGGGGACUAUAGACGGCUUUUUCAAGAGAAAACAAGUGGAGAAGGACGGAUACUUAAGCUGAGCAAUGCUCAUCAACUAUUUAACAACAAUGACCACGGCAGACUGGAACCUUGGAUUCUUACCAUGUAAGUAUAAACAAUCCCAUACUGAACAUUAUCACACGCGGAAGACAUGUUAAUUGAAUUACAGGGUAAUUUAGAUACAAACUGUAUAUGCAAAAUUAUAAAAUUAUAAGUGGUAUUUCCCAUUGUACCUUGUAUCAAUCCAUUGAAAAAUGAUCGGUAUCAUGGCUUUGUCAAUAAUCUAAAUCUAAUUUGCACUUUUCUAGAUAACAUUUUGCAGUAAAACCAAGUAUGGACCCCAGGGUGCUUAUUUGCCUCCUCUUCUCAG
rnacentral:lncRNA from 1 species